GCAAAACGCGAAGAACCUUACCAGGUCUUGACAUCCCGCUGACCGUUCUAGAGAUAGAUCUUCCCUUCGGGAACCGCGAGACAGGUGCUGCAUGGCUGUCGUCAGCUCGUGUUGUGAAAUGUUGGGUUAAGUCCCGCAACGAGCGCAACCCUUAUCCUUUGUUGCCAGCGGUUAGGCCGGGAACUCAAAGGAGACUGCCAGUGAUAAACUGGAGGAAGGUGGGGAUGACGUCAAGUCAUCAUGGCCCUUACGAGUAGGGCUACACACGUGCUACAAUGGCGCAUACAAAGAGAAGCGACCUCGCGAGAGCAAGCGGACCUCAUAAAGUGCGUCGUAGUCCGGAUUGGAGUCUGCAACUCGACUCCAUGAAGUCGGAAUCGCUAGUAAUCGUAGAUCAGAAUGCUACGGUGAAUACGUUCCCGGGUCUUGUACACACCG
rnacentral:rRNA from 1 species